GCUUCAAAUGCCUUUAAAAAUUGUCAAUUCAAUUAGCUGAUGGGAUGGGCGAAUAUGGAUCUUGAAAUGUUUUAACAUUGCCAGGCCGCGAGAAUACCACCUGCUCAGAUAUCCUUAUCGAGGUUUUGUACUUUAUGCUCAAGGAUGUUUGAAUAAGGUCAAUGGGUCUUCCUAUAGGCUUAUAGCUGCUUCAGAUCUUCUCAAGCAGCAGGUGAUGGAACAGGAUGGCUGGUAUACCAUGUGCUAAUGGUAUGUUUCGGUUGAUAUGGCGGAUUGAGAGUGACAAGGAAAGGGAGACCUGUAUCGCCUAAAUUCUGCAACACUCU